GGUUUUGAGGUGUUAUCAUGUCAGGUUGCAAACCUGAAGAAGUAGGUGUCGUCCUGCCAAGGCCU
rnacentral:tRNA from 1 species